rnacentral:misc_RNA from 1 species
CAGCAUCUCCCACCAUUGCAUCAACUCCCUUCUCUUCAAUAUUUAGAGAUUAAUAGUUUAAGUAAUUUAGAAUACAUAGAAACUGAGGGACAAGGAACUACAUUCUUUCCAUCUCUCAAGCAUCUCCAGCUCACGCACUGUCGUGAGCUAAAAGGAUGGCGGAAGAGUUUUGAAGAUUAUAGAGAUGACCCUACCGCCGUAUCAUCACAAGAGCUACUUCAAUUUCCUUGUCUUUCCCAGUUUCAUUGUCAUGGUUGCCCUAAUUUGAGUUGGAUCCCUCAGUUUCCAUCUAUCGAUGAAAGUUUACAAUUGGAGAAUGUAAGCUUGCAACUUGUGCAGCAAAUAAUCACAACAUCAGCUUCUUCUUCUUCUUCUUCCUCAA